rnacentral:rRNA from 1 species
AAGAAAAGUUUCUAAGUUUAGCUAAUGUUGCCCGUACCGUAAACCGACACAGGUGGGUGGGAUGAGUAUUCUAAGGCGCGUGGAAGAACUCUCUUUAAGGAACUCUGCAAAAUAGCACCGUAUCUUCGGUAUAAGGUGUGGUUCGCUUCGUAUUAGGAUUUACUCCGAAAGCGAAGAAACUUACAACAAAGAGUCCCUCCCGACUGUUUACCAAAAACACAGCACUCUGCUAACUCGUAAGAGGAUGUAUAGGGUGUGACGCCUGCCCGGUGCUCGAAGGUUAAUUGAUGGGGUUAGCAUUAGCGAAGCUCUUGAUCGAAGCCCGAGUAAACGGCGGCCGUAACUAUAACGGUCCUAAGGUAGCGAAAUUCCUUGUCGGUUAAAUACCGACCUGCAUGAAUGGCGUAACGAGAUGGGAGCUGUCUCAAAGAGGGAUCCAGUGAAAUUGUAGUGGAGGUGAAAAUUCCUCCUACCCGCGGCAAGACGGAAAGACCCCGUGGACCUUUACUACAGCUUGACACUGCUAUUUGGAUAAGAAUGUGCAGGAUAGGUGGGAGGCUUUGAGUAUAUGACGCCAGUUGUAUAUGAGCCAUUGUUGAGAUACCACUCUUUCUUAUUUGGGUAGCUAACCAGCUUGAGUUAUCCUCAAGUGGGACAAUGUCUGGUGGGUAGUUUGACUGGGGCGGUCGCCUCCCAAAUAAUAACGGAGGCUUACAAAGGUUGGCUCAGAACGGUUGGAAAUCGUUCGUAGAGUAUAAAGGUAUAAGCCAGCUUAACUGCAAGACAUACAAGUCAAGCAGAGACGAAAGUCGGUCUUAGUGAUCCGGUGGUUCUGUGUGGAAGGGCCAUCGCUCAAAGGAUAAAAGGUACCCCGGGGAUAACAGGCUGAUCUCCCCCAAGAGCUCACAUCGACGGGGAGGUUUGGCACCUCGAUGUCGGCUCAUCGCAUCCUGGGGCUGGAGCAGGUCCCAAGGGUAUGGCUGUUCGCCAUUUAAAGCGGUACGCGAGCUGGGUUCAGAACGUCGUGAGACAGUUCGGUCCCUAUCUGCCGUGGGCGUAAGAAGAUUGAAGAGAUUUGACCCUAGUACGAGAGGACCGGGUUGAACAAACCACUGGUGUAGCUGUUGUUCUGCCAAGAGCAUCGCAGCGUAGCUAAGUUUGGAAAGGAUAAACGCUGAAAGCAUCUAAGCGUGAAGCCAACUCUAAGAUGAAUCUUCUCUAAGCUCUCUAGAAGACUACUAGUUUGAUAGGCUGGGUGUGUAAUGGAUGAAAGUCCUUUAGCUGACCAGUACUAAUAGAGCGUUUGGCUUAUCUUUAAUAAAGCAU